rnacentral:rRNA from 1 species
UACGUAGGGAGCAAGCGUUGUUCGGAUUUACUGGGCGUAAAGGGCUCGUAGGCGGCCAACUAAGUCAGACGUGAAAUCCCUCGGCUUAACCGGGGAACUGCGUCUGAUACUGGAUGGCUAGAGUGUGGGAGAGGGAUGCGGAAUUCCAGGUGUAGCGGUGAAAUGCGUAGAUAUCUGGAGGAACACCGGUGGCGAAGGCGGCCAUCUGGACCGCAACGUGACGCUGAGGCGCGGAAAGCGUGGGGA